rnacentral:tmRNA from 1 species
GCCCUUUCGCGCGGCGGGCGACACGCCUAUAUUCGGUCCGUCCGGCCUCGGUCGGACUAUGGCGAUAAACGCGCGUAGAUAGGCGGAUCGGACCCGGGUGCAAUUCCCGGCGGCUCCACCAGCAUUUCAACCGUCGUUGGCGGGUUGUCUGGGGCCGAACUAGGAUCGACGGACGUUGAAGGACGAUGCCUUUGCCCGGGUGGUCCCGUUACAGGCCGAACAGCAAUAGUUGCCAACGACAACACUGCUGAGGGUUAUGCUCUGGCCGCGUAAGCGGUUCGAGGAAAACCCACUUUAAGUCCUGACGAGUAGCAUCGUCAGGCGGGGCCCCCCGGCGCCUGGCAACAGAAGCCGGGGACU